rnacentral:tRNA from 1 species
GUCACUUUGGCGGAGUGGUUAACGCCGUGGCCUGCUAAGCCAUUUCCCUUUGGGAGCGCAGGUUUGAGUCCUGCAGGUGACG